GGCGUAGUUCAGUUGGUAGAGCACUGGAUUGUGGUUCCAGGUGUCGUGGGUUCGAGUCCCAUCGC
rnacentral:tRNA from 1 species